UUAAUAGAUAGAGGCGCGUCUUUUAAGAGUAGGCAGGCGGAUGUGAAAGAAGACACAGAUGAAACCUGCUGAAAGGAAAAGACGCCGAAGGGAGUUUCUUUCUUCUUGGAAACUUCCCUGGGUGCAUGGAGAAUAUCCAUGCAACUGUCACCAAUUGUAAAAUUGGUGGAGCGCUAUCUGUUAA
rfam:Caldicellulosiruptor owensensis OL, complete genome.